GAUGAACGCUGGCGGCGUGCCUAAUACAUGCAAGUCGAGCGAACGGACGAGAAGCUUGCUUCUCUGAUGUUAGCGGCGGACGGGUGAGUAACACGUGGAUAACCUACCUAUAAGACUGGGAUAACUUCGGGAAACCGGAGCUAAUACCGGAUGAUAUUUUGAACCGCAUGGUUCAAAAGUGAAAGACGGUCUUGCUGUCACUUAUAGAUGGAUCCGCGGUGCAUUAGCUAGUUGGUAAGGUAACGGCUUACCAAGGCAACGAUGCAUAGCCGACCUGAGAGGGUGAUCGGCCCCACUGGAACUGAGACACGGUACAGACUCCUACGGGCGGCAGCAGUAGGGAAUCUUCCGCAAUGGGCGAAAGCCUGCCGGAGCAACGCCGCGUGAGUGAUGAAGGUCUUCGGAUCGUAAAACUCUGUUAUUAGGGAAGAACAUAUGUGUAAGUAACUGUGCACAUCUUGACGGUACCUAAUCAGAAAGCCACGGCUAACUACGUG
rnacentral:rRNA from 1 species